rnacentral:rRNA from 1 species
GUGCCAGCAGCCGCGGUAAUACAGAGGCCAAGAGCGUUGUUCGGAUUUACUGGGCGUAAAGGGCGCGUAGGCGGUCUUGCGUGUCAAGUGUGAAAUCUCCGGGCUCAACCCGGAAAGUGCGCUUGAAACUACAGGACUCGAGUCUGGGAGAGGGAAUCGGAAUGCAGGGUGUAGCGGUGAAAUGCGUUGAUAUCCUGCAGAACACCGGAGGCGAAGGCGGAUUCCUUGAACAGUACUGACGCUGAGGCGCGAAAGUCGGGGGAGCAAACAGGAUUAGAUACCCUGGUAGUCCCGACCUUAAACGGUGCACACUCGGGGUGGGGCCAUUUCACCCGGUCCCGUCCCUUAGCUAACGCGUUAAGUGUGCCCGCCUGGGGAGUACGGCCGCAAGGCUAAAACUCAAAGAAAUUGACGGGGGCCCGCACAAGCAGAGGAGCAUGUGGCUUAAUUCGAUGCAACGCGAAGAACCUUACCUGGAUUGACAUCGUCGGCNAUGCCUAUGAAAGUAGGGCGGAGGUUAUCCGAUAGACAGGUGCUGCAUGGCUGUCGUCAGUUCGUGCCGUGAGGUGUUUGGUUAAGUCCACCAACGAACGCAACCCCUUUGAUGUGUUGCCAGCGGGUCAAGCCGGGAACUCGCAUCAUACUGCCUGUUUACGCAGGAGGAAGGUGGGGAUGACGUCAAGUCAGUAUGGCCCUUACAUCCAGGGCUGCACACGUGCUACAAUGGCCGGUACAGAGGGACGCGAGACCGCAAGGUGGAGCCAAUCCCAGAGAGCCGGCCUCAGUUCAGAUCGGGGUCUGCAACCCGACCCCGUGAAGUCGGAUUUGCUAGUAACGGCGUAUCAGCUACGACGCCGUGAAUGCGUUCCCGGGCCUUGUACACACCGCCCGU